CACUUUGCGCAGUGGUAGUAUCAUAGCCUAUAAAGGUCUACUGAGGUGUGAUUAUUGCUAUUUGAAAACUUUACCCAAUACCCUAUUAAGUCUGUUUUUUGACAGACUUGGCAAUUUUUUACCGUCUAAGGUUGGG